rnacentral:misc_RNA from 1 species
GAUGAAGAACGUAGCGAAAUGCGAUAAGUAGUGUGAAUUGCAGAAUUCAGUGAAUCAUCGAAUCUUUGAACGCACAUUGCGCCUCCUGGUAUUCCUGGAGGCAUGCCUGUUCGAGCGUCAUUAAAAUCACUCAAGCUUAGGUUUACCUAUUGCUUGGUCUUGGAGAUGGAAGCCAAUUUAUUGGAAUCCUCUUCGAAAUUCAAUGGCGAAGACCCUUGCUCUCCCAAGUGUAGUAAUAACUUAUGUCACUGAAGGAAGCGAGAAAUCUUCUGCCGUAACCCCCAUAUUUUCUAUGAUUGACCUCGGAUCAGGUAGGGAUACCCGCCGAACUUAAGCAUAUCAAUAAGCGGAGGA